CGGGUGAGUAACACGUGGAUAACCUACCUAUAAGACUGGGAUAACUUCGGGAAACCGGAGCUAAUACCGGAUAAUAUUUUGAACCGCAUGGUUCAAAAGUGAAAGACGGUCUUGCUGCCACUUAUAGAUGGAUCCGCGCUGCAUUAGCUAGUUGGUAAGGUAACGGCUUACCAAGGCAACGAUGCAUAGCCGACCUGAGAGGGUGAUCGGCCACACUGGAACUGAGACACGGUCCAG
rnacentral:rRNA from 1 species